GACGCUCCUCUUCCUUUAAGAGUGUGAUUCAAGACCCGAUCCACACCCGAUCCACACUUGAUUUCUUCUCAUGAUAAACCGCAAACAGGCGUCAAGACGUUUGUU